CGAACAACUCGUAUAAACAGUCAAUUUUCAUUAAGUAACAUAUUAUUUUGGACUAUCCUUUAUACCUCUGAGCUUAUUACGAAUAAAUUGACCUCGCGGCUUUAUUUCGCGUAAAAGGUCAAUUUAUUCGCAAUUAGCUUAGAGGUAUAAAAGCUAGUAUAAUCUGUUACUUAAUGAAAAUUGAUUGUUUAUACGAGUUGUUCGUGACUCACUUAGGCUGCAGCUUAUUUAAAUUAAGGCAAUUUUAAGCCGCGAGACGUAUGAGAACAAUUCCAGCUAGAUUGUGGACGACUCAAAUCAUUGCUCUUUUACAUGCCUCAAAUGUCGGGGCUUAACUCGAGCGUCGAAUAUUUUCAAUGACUUCGAGUUAAGCUCCUCUUUUUUCACAGGGCUUAACUCGAACGUUCCAAGUUGUGUUUCUUUCUUCGAGUUACGCCCUUGACGAAAAUGGGUGUGGUUUGGGCGUGGACGGGGUUUGACUCGAAAAGGGCUUAACUCGAAGGGCUUAUUAACUCGAAGACUGCCAAAAUGUUGGGUGUUACGUUACAUAGUUCAGGGUUAAAUUUGCCCCCCCCCCCUUUUUGGGGGUCGUUUUGAGUCUAUUGUUUUUGGAGUUAUACAGUUAUAUAUUAGUUAAAAAUACAUACGAAUUCAUCUAUGCAAUCAAAUUUCCCAACUAUCAGUUUGGUGAUGUGGGUCGUUUUAUCUACAGAUUAUUAAUUGAUGAUUAAUUUGUUUUGAAUUUCUUCAUGAAUAUAUAUUGAGUUUUAAAGUGCAUAUAAUCAAACGGAACAGUAUCGGGUUCCUGCCCCAGGGACUAAUAGGGAGUUUACGAAUGUAAGACGGCGACGUUAGGACGACGGCUAUUAUAAUACAAUGUCAUUAAUCCUAUAGCACAAACGAAAUGAAUAAAUAAAAGUUUAGUAGGGGUUUUAGACGUCGUCCAAGCUCUGCUAACAACGGCAAAAUGUAUAUUUUCACGUCCUGUAUAGUACGCUAGCAUUUCAAGCCAUGACAGGUAGUUUUUCUAGCAGCGUUGAUCAAAAUUGCUCCGAAGGUUAAAGCUCUGUUUUACUCGUUCGAAACUAUUUUAAAUUCAUACUAAAGUAGCUAACUACAAUAUUUCCAUAAAAUCACUUAUUUAAAACAGUUUGUUUAGCCGUCGUUCUGACGUCGCCGUCUUACAUUCGUAAACUCCCUAAAGUUAAUUUAUCGACGACGACAAAAAUAAUACAAAUAACACAGAAAUGUAGGGAAACCUAUACUUACAGUCUACGUAGUACUAUACAUAUAUAGCCAAAGUAAUUAAUUAUAUGGUAUUGUAUAGAUAGAUUAUAAAAAGUUAAGAUUUUUAUAUAUCAACACGGCUCUUAGCCAAUCAGCGUUCAGAAUUUACAAAUGCUAUAUUAUAAUAUAAGAUAGAACUGAAUAGAACAAUAAAAGUUUCAGUAUCAG